rnacentral:rRNA from 1 species
GAUGAACGCUGGCGGCAUGCCUAAUACAUGCAAGUCGAGCGAACGGACGAGAAGCUUUCUUCUCUGAUGGUAGCGGCGGACGGGUUAGUAACACAUGGAUAACCUACCUAUAAGACUGGGAUAACAUCGGGAAACCAGAGCUAAUACCGGAUAAUGUUUUGAACCGCAUGGUUCAAGAGUGAAAGACGGUCUUGCUGUCACUGAUAGAUGGAUCCGCGCUGGAUUAGCUAGUUGGUAAGGUAACGGCUUACCAAGGCGACGAUGCGUAGCCGAUCUGAGAGGGUGAUCGGCCACACUGGAACUGAGACACGGUCCAGACUCCUACGGGAGGCAGCAGUAGGGAAUCUUCGGCAAUGGGCGAAAGCCUGACGGAGCAACGCCGCGUGAGUGAUGAAGGUCUUCGGAUCGUAAACCUCUUUUAUACGGAAAGAAAAGACGUGUAAGUAUAUGUGCACAUCAUGACGGUACCGAAACAGUAAGCCACGGCUAACUACGUG